GCCAGUGUGGCAUAGUGGUUUGAGUGUUGGACCACAACUCUGGAUACCAGGGUUCAAUUCCCCAUUUGGCC